CCUUUUUUACCUUGUAAACCUAUAACAUGCACAAAAAAGAUAUAUAACACUAUAAAGGAAAAGGAGAAAGCCAAACAGCAUAAUAUGAGCACUUUUAAGUUACAAAGAUACAAGCGCAUUUCUUCACUAGCACCACUUCUGUACAUUUGAAUGAGAACCAUUCACUAUUUUGUAUUUCAUACAGUCAUAUAAGCAUACAUCAGUGCACAUGUACACGAAAAUUUGUGAGUCAUAUCAUUAUGGAUCAUCUGGUCAAUCGUUAUUAAGUUCCCUGUGUGCUCAGACACCGGGCAAUGCAAAAAUGUCACAUAUUAAUGGGGUUAGGUCAGGGAAUCUAAAUGUGAACCGCUUCAGCAGCCCCGCGAUCUGAUGUAAUUAUGCGCCGAUUAAAAAUCACUUAGUGGAUUCCUGCAGCUCCCAAUGAACAAGGCUGGUGCUAAGACACAGCCAUUAGAAGAAAAGGAGCUGACGUCUUUUAAACAAGAAAUCACAUUCUUUAUUUUGUUAGUGUGUGCAGCGACAUCACAGGCAAAGAAAAGUACCAGGAAUACAUUAUGGGUGUGAGUUUGAAUGUGCGUAGUGAUGGAAAAUACAUUUUUAAGCAUAUUUUUAGGCAACCAAAAGGAACAAAACAGUGUGUAACAUUUUUGUUUUCCUCAUUGUGUCGGAAGAAAAUGGCUGAUAACCAGCAGGAACCGUUUUCCAUGAAUGCCAAACGGAUGAGGCUUCAGACCGGGUGACCGGUGUGAUGCUGAUUCACAAUGAUGGGUUUGGAGUAUAAAUGCCCUUCUCUGCACUAUCACUCUCACAAGAGACUGAUUGCCCUUUGCCUUCCCUUUUAUCAGUACAGCCCUCCCUCUUGUUACAUGUGAUUCUGAGCCUGUGAUAGUUUUUAUUUAUUUUUUAUUUGAGGCACUGUGGCAGUUUUGUGCCAAUCACUACAGAGUGCCUGGUGUCAGUGUUUUAAAGUGGCACUUUCAGAUCUUUACUGGCAGUUGCCUGUUCUGGAGAGGAAAUGCCUUUUAAGCAAUUCAGUCCUUGAAUGUUUACAUUUACUUUGAAGAAGUCAGUUAACAUUGUAAUGUUAACAUACAUAACAUACAUAUGUAGUUAACAUACAGUGCAAAGAAAAUGAAUUACUAUGGAUUGUUGUGCCAUGCAUAUUGCAUUGUGGCUACAAUAUUAGUAAUAACGUUGUUUGUUCAUGUUAUUGCAACAUGUGGGAUUUAAAGCCUCGCCAGGAACAUAAAAUUCUCUUGUACAAGCUUUUUAUAUAGCAGUCUGUGGCUCAAUGCUAAGCAUAACAGCUAAAUAAACUACACUUAAAAGCAGUCCUCAGACUUGUAGAGAAGCUGUCUUGGUGCUGCUUUGGUAGAGCCUCCAUUGUGAAAAAUAUUUCCUGAAUUCUCCAUUGUGUUGUCGAGUUUAAGCUUCUCCCCUGGAGGAGUUUAAACCUGACAUGUCCAUAAAGACUACGAGAGCCAGUAUGUAAAGCAAAGCGACGAGGAUGACUGGUCCUUCGUCACAACAAUGCUAUCAUUGUUCUUUUUAAGAUUAUAAGGUUAGACCUGAAAGUCACUUGCAUGUUAAUGCAAGAAGGAACAUAAAGAAGAAAAAAAUACAUCAUCUCAACCCGCCGCAGAUUUAAAGGGUCAGACAACAACAAAUGCUCAUGUUGAUCUUGGAAAAGGCCUUCAUAUAGUAGGAUGCUUUGGUGUUGACAAAAGAUUAAAGGAAUAGUACUACAUGUUUGGGAAUAUUCACUUUCUGGUGAACACAUGAGAAGAUUGAUGCCACUCUCAUAUCUGCCGGUUGGCUUAGCGUAGAAUAACUACUCUAAGCAGGGAAAGAGCUAGCCCUAUUCCAAAGUAACAAAAUCCACCUAUCAGCACAUCAAAAGCUCACUACUUAAAUGUGAUAUCUCAUUUUCGAAGUCCUGUCAUCAUCGUGAGGUUUCCAAGCAGCCAGCAGAUACUUAAGCUAACUAAAACUGCAACUUGCCAUUUUUAACAAACGAAAUAUAAUAUGUAAGUCAGCUUAACCUUUGGACAGCCGUUUCCAGUGUUUGUGCUAAGCUAAGCAAACCAGCUACUUCAUAUUUAGCGUACAGAUAAGAGAGUGAUAUCAAUCUUCUCAUUAAAUUCUCGGCAAGAAAGCAAAUAAGCGUUUAAAGACUCAUCCCACAUUGUUUGGUGCCUGUCUUCUGUUGUCAGUAAAGUUUAAUGUAAUUGUGUCAAUUUGCUAAUGUACCUCAUAAUGGUGAAUGUAAAUAGAUUUGUAUACACUGAAACAAUACUAGUAAAAAGUGUUUUCAAAUGUAUGUUUGCUGGAUAUUAUCUUUUAGUGUUUUGGUGACCUGGCAUGGUUGUUUUGUAUCAGUGAGAUAAUAUUAAAAAGUGAUAUUGAAUCAACAAUCAUUGUAAUGUGCACUUACAGUAAGUAUUCAGUAGUGAAGCAUGUGUAAUAUAGAUGUGUUUAUUUGGAAACUGGAUUUUGUGUUGUGUAUAUUUAAGAUUUAAUAGUUAGUGCAAUGCAAGUAACACUGGUGAAGCUACAAAUGUACUGUAUUAGCUUAGGUUCACAUUUGUGUACAAGGACACUUCAUCGUUUUAAAAUAAUAGUUUUGUUUAUUAUUAUGAUUAAUUUUGUUGUACAGUGUGUGUUGUCGUGGCAGGAAAUUUAACUUGCCAUAAAACUUUGACAUUGUUUCACUCAAACGUUAUGAAUUGAAUUAUUUAAAAAUAUACAAUAUGGUGAAA